UAAACAUUAUUUGAUUCGGUAGCAACUUAUUCUUUCAUUUUGUCAUUUGUUAUUAAAAGUCUGAAAUUAGUAGAUUUUGAAUGUUUCAUUUACCUGUUAUUAUGCCCACCGGUGUAACCAUAAGGUGUAUAAGGUUAUUUAAGAACUGGCCUUUGAAGACAAAAGAUUGCGUUUUCCCUUCUGAUUCGACAAAAGUUUAAUUUUAGGGACCUAGAUGUAAUUCUGGGGAUGGACUGGCUAAGUUUGUACAAGGCUAAGGUAGAUUGUGAAAUUCAGAAAGUAAGUUUAAGGAACCCUAUUGGAAGGUUGACCUCAUAUAGAUGUUUUGAGAAGACCAAGAAUAUUUAGUUAUUUCGGUAAUGCAAGUGAGGAAAUUGAUGAAUAUGGAGUGUGAACUAUUUUUCCGUAGUGUGUUAGAGGUGAGUAAAGAAGUUGGAGUGAAAACCGAGGAUGUUGCCAUUAUGAGUGGAUUCAUUGAUGUGUUUCCGAGUGAAAUUACAAGUAUGUUACCUGUUAGAGCCUUGAGUUCACUAUAGACUUAGUCCCUGGAACGACGCCUAUACCUAAAGCACCAUGUAGAAUGACACCUCCCGAAAUGAGCGAAUUAAGACACUAUUGCAAGAGUUGUUUCGUUAAGGGGUAUAUUAGGCUUAAUGCAUCACCACGGGUAGCUCUGGUGUUGUUUAUUAAGAAGAAAUAUGAGAGUGUGAUAUUGGGUAUCGAUUUUAGGGAGCUAAGCAAUGUAACCAUCAAGAACAAGUAUCCUUUGCCUAGGAUAGAUGACAUAUUGGAUCAAUUGAAUUGGGCGAGUGUGUUCUCGAAGACUGAUUUGCGUUUGAAGUACCACCAAUUGAGAAUAGCUGAUAAGGGCCUAAGACCUCAUUAGGAUUCGCCAUUGUCAUUAAAGGUUUAUAGUAACGUCUUUUGGGUUAACCAAUGCACCUUCAUUAAUUAUGGACUUGAUGAAUGAGAUUUUCUACGAAUUCCGAAUUAAGUUCGUUAUUGUGUUAUUGAUGAUACCCUGAUUUAUUCAAGGAAUGAGAAAGAGCAUGACAAACACUUGAGGAUUAUUUGGAGACGCUUAGAAAGAAUCUAGUUUUAUUAAAUGAAGUAUACAAAUCUUGAGGUCAUAUGUGUAUAAGUGACACCGACGGAAAAGUGAAGGACUAAAUUGAUUGAGAACUAUGUUACGUAAGGGAAUAAAUUUAAGAGGAGAAUUGAGUGGUCCAGGAUCGUUAGAAACCAUUUGGCGUCUUGAAAAGAUGAAAGGAAAUAUAUGAAUUGGUGAAAGAGCUAAGAGUUAAUCCUAAGAGUUAUAUAUCCAUGAAAGGCAUGAUGAGGUUCGGUGAAAAGGAAAAGUGAGCAGAAAGCGUUUCUGUAGAUCCUACUAAGAUUCAAGCUGUGAGUGAGUGACCUACUCCAAAGAACGUGUCUGAUAUCUGAAGUUAUCUAGGCUUAGAUGACCAUUAUAGGAGGUUGUGAAAGACUUUUCGAAGAGAGAAAAACCAUUGACCAACUUGUUGAAAGAGGAAUCAAAAUUCGAGUGGAGUAAGAAAUGUAAAAAGUUUUCUAGAUUUUAAAAGAGCGUUUGACCUCUGCACCUGUUGCCGCGUCAAUUGAAACUUUAUGAAACUAAUUACCCUACCCAUGACCUAAAGCUAGCUGCUAGUGCGUUCGCUUUGAAUGAUUUGGAGACAUUAUCUUUAUGGGGAAACAUUUGAGAUCCUUUCCGACCACAAAAGUCUGAAAUUUUGGCAAUAAAGUCUAGUUGAAUCUUGGGGACAACAUUGAAAACGAGUACUGCUUUCCACCCUGCAAUUGAUGGUCAGCCUGAGAGGACUAACCAAACUAUGGAAUAUAUGUUGAGAGCCUGUGGUAUUAACUUUAAUGGUAGUCGAGAACCACAUAGAUUUGAUUGAAUUUUCUUACAACAAUAGCUACCAUGCGAACAUUAAAAUGAAACCUUUUGAGGCAUAGUAUGGAAGUGUAGAAAUCCCACUUACUGGAAUGACUUCCGUGAAAAUGUUGUAUUGGGAAAAAGGAUUCGUUGAAUUAGGAAUAUCCAGAAUUAUUCCCUGAGAUGAGUUACGAGGGCGUAACUCGUUUUCUUUUAGGGGGUAGAAUGCGAUAUAAAUUCGCGCUUUUUACCUAAUUUUAUGGUGUUUUUAUGCAUUUUAAUGCUUAUUUUAGCAAAUUAUACAUGUUGAUGCAAAAUAAAUAGAUUCGCCGCAUAAGAAAAUCUGUUCAUGAGUAACACAAGCAACUUUAAGUUGGCUAAAGAGUGCACAUGAGAAACCAGUACUUCUCCAGUAAGAAUGAGUUCAGAACUUUUGAAAAAUGUGGAAUUUUCAUGUCAAGUUUCGGGACGAAACUUCUUUUAAGAGGGGUAGAUUGUAAUCCCCCGUAAAUUUAUAAAGUUUAUUAACAUAUGUUAACGUAUAGUUUUUAUAUUUAAAUGAAAUUGGUCGAUUUUAGUAAUAAAUAUAUAUUUAAUGUAUAUUUAUUUUAUUUAAAUGAAUUAUAAAUAUUUUAAUGAUUUAUUGAAAUCAAACACUUUAGAAUCAUAAUUCGAAAACGAAUUGAAACAUAGAAACACUUCGGUUUUGGAAAAGUAUUUCUAAUCGGGUUUGAAUUUAAAUACUCUCAAAUUGGAAAAGAAUCUUAAUCUUAGCCCAAUUAUUAUAGCCCACAAAGUAAAUAAACCCCCUAAACCCAAAUUUUACCCACAACUAAUUCUCUCUCCUCACUCAACUUCACACUCACGUGAAACCCUCAUUCUCUUUCACGUUAAUUCUCUUUUCUUCCCUCUUAGGCAACCACCACCGCCGCCGGUCAAGCAGCAGACGCCGCCGUUGUUCUCCUCCGACGCCCGACUUCCUCCUUCGUCCGCCACCAACAGCACCACCGCCACGUCGCCGCCCAGCCUGCAUCGCUGCGCCGCCGCGUUCCUUGCCCACACCAACCGACGUCCUCCCUUGUCCUCCCUCUUGCUCGACGGAACUCCUUUUCGUUCUUCAUAUCCCGCAAACACGAGUCAGUCGCAGCCACCACCGCUGCGCCACCAUCUUGCCUUGCCUGUCAGCCGCCGACUGUUCUGCUGCCGCCGUCUCAGACCACCGGCCAACCACCCUUUUGUCUCUCUUUUUGGUGGAGAAUUCUCCGUAGGCGACUUUUGAAUUAUUAAAGUGGUCUUGCAGUUUGUUUACACAAGUCUCUAAGGAUCAAUAAGCAUUGUCCAUCUACAGGUUUGAAGAUGAUGCAUCAUUGGGAUCGGGAUUAGAGAGCUUGUAGUUAUAUUUGUUUUAUUAAGUGAUUUGGGUUGUUAACUUAUAUUUGAAAGUUGUCGUACUAUUCGUAUUUCUUUAUUUCCGUUAAUUGGUUUUGGACUUAGUAUGUAAUCGAUUAUUUAUGAACCUAAAAGUUAGUUUUAUGUUUUCCGCUGCAAAAUUCUGAAUAAGCCGUACGUUUUCACACGGGCGAUAAUGCCUUGAUAAUUCUCUACGUUUUAUAUUAA